AGUGAACGCUGGCGGUAGGCCUAACACAUGCGAGUCGAACGGCAGCACAGUAAGAGCUUGCUCUUACGGGUGGCGAGUGGCGGACGGGUGAGGAAUACAUCGGAAUCUACUUUUUCGUGGGGGAUAACGUAGGGAAACUUACGCUAAUACCGCAUACGACCUACGGGUGAAAGCAGGGGAUCUUCGGACCUUGCGCGAUUGAAUGAGCCGAUGUCGGAUUAGCUAGUUGGCGGGGUAAAGGCCCACCAGGCGACGAUCCGUAGCUGGUCUGAGAGGAUGAUCAGCCACACUGGAACUGAGACACGGUCCAGACUCCUACGGGAGGCAGCAGUGGGGAAUAUUGGACAAUGGGCGCAAGCCUGAUCCAGCCAUACCGCGUGGGUGAAGAAGGCCUUCGGGUUGUAAAGCCCUUUUGUUGGGAAAGAAAAGCAGCAGGUUAAUACCCCGCUGUUCUGACGGUACCCAAAGAAUAAGCACCGGCUAACUUCGUG
rnacentral:rRNA from 1 species